rnacentral:rRNA from 1 species
AGUUUGAUCAUGGCUCAGAUUGAACGCUGGCGGACGCUUAUGCACAUGCAAGUCGAACGGCAGCACGGACUUCGGUCUGGUGGCGAGUGGCAUCGGGUGAGUAAUGUAUCGGAACGUGCUCUAUAGCGGGAUAACUACGCGAAAGCGUAGCUAAUACCGCAUACGGCCCUUCGCCGGGGAAAGCGGGGGGACCUUCGGGCCUCGCACUAUUAGAGCGGCCGAUAUCGGAUUAGCUAGUUGGUGGGGUAACGGCUCACCAAGGCGACGAUCCGUAGCUGGUUUGAGAGGACGACCAGCCACACUGGGACUGAGACACGGCCCAGACUCCUACGGGAGGCAGCAGUGGGGAAUUUUGGACAAUGGGGGACUCUGAUCCAGCCAUCCCGCGUGUGCGAUGGGCGCCUCGGGUUGUAAAGCACUUUUGCAGGAAAGAAACGGCACGGGAUAAUGUCCGUGCAACCCUGGCGGUACCUGCAGAAUAAGCAAUCGGCUAACCACGUGCCAGUGCUUGCAUACGGUGGGUGCAAGCGUUAAUCGGAAUUACUGGGCGUAAAGCGUGCGCAGGCGGUUCGGAAAGAAAGAUGUGAAAAUCCCAGAGCUUAACUUUGGAACUGCAUUUUUAACUACCGAGCUGGAGUGUGUGUUUGAGGGGAGGUGGAAUUACGUGUAGCAGGAAUGCGUAGAUAUGCGGAGGGCCGAUGGCGAAGGCAGCCUCCUGGGAUAACACUGACGCUCAUGCACGAAAGCGUGGGGAGCAAACAGGAUUAGAUACCCUGGUAGUCCACGUGCCCUAAACGAUGUCAACUUAGUUGUUGGGGCCUUUCGGGCCUGUAGCGCAGCUAACGCGCAAGCACCGCCUGUAGAGCGGUCGCAAGAUUAAAACCUCAAAGGAAUUGACGGGGGACCCGCACAAGCGGUGGAUGAUGUGGACGAUUCGAUGCAACGCGAAAAACCUUAAUACCUACCCUUGACAUGUCUGGAAUCCCGAAGAGAUUUGGGAGUGCUCGCAAGAGAACCGGAACAUUAGUGCUGCAUGGCUGUCGUCAGCUCGUGUCGUGGGAGAUGUUGGGUUAAGUCCCGCAACGAGCGCAACCCUUGUCAUUAGUUGCGUCGAGUGGGUGUACCAUGAGACUGCCGGUGACAAACCGGAGGAAGGUGGGGAUGACGUCAAGUCCUCAUGGCCUUAUGGGUAGGGCUUACCACGUCAUACAAUGGUCGGGACAGAGGGUCGCCAACCCGGCUAAUCCCAGAAACCUGAUCGUAGUCCGAUCGCAGUCUGCUGCAACUCGACUGCAAAGUCGGAAUCGCUAGUAAUCGCGGAUCAGCAUGGGUCGUGGUGAAUACGUUCCUGGGUUCUGUACACCGCCCGUCACACCAUGGGAGUGGGUUUUACCAGAAGUAGUUAGCCUAACCGUAAGGAGGGCGAUUACCACGGUAGGAUUCAUGACUGGGGUGAAGUCGUAACAAGGUAG